rnacentral:rRNA from 1 species
GACCUCGGAUCAGGUAGGGAUACCCGCUGAACUUAAGCAUAUCAAUAAGCGGAGGAAAAGAAACCAACAGGGAUUGCCUCAGUAACGGCGAGUGAAGCGGCAACAGCUCAAAUUUGAAAUCUGGCCUUCUGGUCCGAAUUGUAAUUUGUAGAGGAUGCUUCGAACAUGGUCCGGUCUAAGUUCCUUGGAACAGGACGUCGUAGAGGGUGAGAAUCCCGUAUGUGACUGGGUGCCUAAGUUCAUGUGAAGCUCCUUCAACGAGUCGAGUUGUUUGGGAAUGCAGCUCAAAAUGGGUGGUAAAUUUCAUCUAAAGCUAAAUAUUGGCCAGAGACCGAUAGCGCACAAGUAGAGUGAUCGAAAGAUGAAAAGCACUUUGGAAAGAGAGUUAAAUAGUACGUGAAAUUGUUGAAAGGGAAGCGCUUGCAAUCAG